AUUGAACGCUGGCGGCAGGCCUAACACAUGCAAGUCGAGCGGAGCGGCGGACGGGUGAGUAAUGCCUAGGAAUCUGCCUGGUAGUGGGGGAUAACGUUCGGAAACGGGCCCUAAUACCGCAUACUAUCUGCUGAGCCUAGGUCGGAUUAGUUAGUUGGUGGGGUAAAGUUCUACCAGGGCGACGAUCCGUAACCGGUCUGAGAGGAUGAUCAGUCACACAGUAACUGAGAAACGGUCCAGACUCCUACGGGAGGCAGCAGUGGGGAAUAUUGGACAAUGGGCGAAAGCCUGUUCCAGCCAUGCCGCGUGUGUGAAGAAGGUCUUCGGAUUGUAAAGCACUUUAAGUUGGGAGGCGUUACCAACAGAAUAAGCACCGGCUAACUUCGUGCCAGCAGCGCGGCAAUAC
rnacentral:rRNA from 1 species